CGUGAUAGCAGCUUUCCAUCGCGCUUCAACAGCACGCGCGCAUACUGCAAGCAGCCUUCCCUCCCCACCACCACCACAAACACACACACGAGAGAGCACGGCGGCGUUGUUCGGAAAGGCAACUCCAUCGGAUGCCCACCGCCUCUGCCUCACGAGAGCCCCUCGUGCCAACGAUCAACUUCUCUAUGGUGUGCCCUGGCGUGUACCGAAGCGGCUACCCAACCAAGAAGAACUACUCCUUUCUCUGCGCGCUGCGGCUGCGCAGCAUCCUAUACCUCUGCCCGGAGGACUACGCCGAGAGCAAUCUCAAGUUCUGCGAGGAGAAAGGCAUUCAUGUCCUGCGCUUCCCGACGGAGGGCAACAAGGAGCCCUUCUGUGACAUCUCCGAGCCCCUGAUGCACCGCAUUCUCAGCGCCAUCUGCGACACUCGCAACCUCCCCCUGCUCAUCCACUGCAACAAGGGCAAGCACCGCACCGGCACCGUCGUGGCCUGCUUGCGUCACCUGCAAGGCUGGUCUUUGGUGUCCAUCUUCGAGGAGUACAAGCGUUUUGCCAGCGACAAGGCUCGAGUCGGGGAUCAGCAGUACGUCGAGCUCUACCACCCCAUUGUGAAGCUGACCCCGCCGUUUGUGGCGUCGUGGGUGACCGUGACGCCGCGCGUGACGCUCGUGACGUCCGACCGCGAACUCAUGGAGGCGGAGGCGAUGCAGCUCGGGUACAGCCUCCUCGCACCGGACAAGCACCUCAUGAAGAAGAAUGGCAGCAGCACGAGCAAAUCGACGGGAAAUACAGCGGCUGCUGCGCCAGGCGCCGCCUCCGUCACGGCGGCGCCCGCGGGACCAGCGGCGGCAGCUGCCGCUACCGCGGGUAGCGGUCCAACGGCCACAGCAUCCACAUCCGGCCCUUCAGCUGCGGUAGCCAUGCAGCAGCAACAGCCGUCACAGCCCGUCACGUCUGCGGCCCCGACGAUCGCCAGCAGCAGCGGCCACUCCACAGCGCCCUCCAUUAUGGCUACCGCAGCAACAGCAGCGGUAGCGGCUAGCUUGGGAGAAGCAACAUGACUGGGGCGCAUCCGCCACCGCCUUUUCCCACCCCCUCCCAACAUGCACACGCCACCGCUCAGGUGGCAUCGGGGCAGCGGUGACUGACAGAUAGGCACGGCCGAAGCCCCUGGCCCCCUCCUCCGCCUCAGUAGAGGCCUGCUGUGCUGUUUCUUCUUCGCCGUUCGGUUGUUGGUGAGAGUUAGCUAUGUGUAUUCUAUUCUGUGCGCGUGUACUUCUGUGCACCUUUUUCUUCUUUCCUUCUCUUUUGGGCAUCAGGUUCCUAACCACUGUACGCGUGUGCCCCUGUGUGACAGCUGUGCCGAGGAUCAUGGUCGAGGACCGCAUCCCUUGGACGACCAUCGUCGUACUUCAACAGACGUGGCACGCGCGCGCACAGAGAGAGAGGGCAGGACGGAGGUGAAAGAGUAACGGGUGCCGCCGAAUCCGAC
rnacentral:misc_RNA from 1 species